rnacentral:rRNA from 1 species
UACGUAGGGGGCAAGCGUUGUCCGGAUUUACUGGGCGUAAAGAGCGCGCAGGCGGUCUGAUAAGUCGGAUGUGAAAGCCCCCGGCUCAACUGGGGAGGGUCAUUCGAUACUGUUCGACUCGAAAGCAGGAGAGGGAAGUGGAAUUCCCGGUGUAGUGGUGAAAUGCGUAGAUAUCGGGAGGAACACCAGUGGCGAAGGCGACUUCCUGGCCUGUUCUUGACGCUGAGGCGCGAAAGCUAGGGGAGCAAACGGG